GCAUACCUAUGGGGAAUCGAACCUACGCCCUUCGCAUUAUUGACACAACGCUCUAACCAACUGAGCUACGGUAUG